rnacentral:rRNA from 1 species
GACGAACCGUGCGAACGUUGUUCGGAAUCACUGGGCUUAAAGGGCGCGUAGGCGGGUUCGCAAGUCUGUGGUGAAAUCCUCCAGCUUAACUGGAGAAGUGCCAUGGAUACUGCGAGCCUCGAGGAGGGUAGGGGCAUCUGGAACAGUAGGUGGAGCGGUGAAAUGCGUUGAUAUCUACUGGAACUCCGGUGGCGAAGGCGAGGUGCUGGACCCUUUCUGACGCUGAGGCGCGAAAGCGUGGGUAGCAAACAGG